rnacentral:tRNA from 2 species
GCCAACGUAGCUCAGACGGUAGAGCAACGCACUCGUAAUGCGUAGGUCGGCGGUUCGAUUCCGCCCGUUGGCU